rnacentral:lncRNA from 1 species
GCAUCUUGUCCAACUCAAAAGUGACCAAACCAGAUGAGACGUCAUACUCAAACGCGAUCUCACUUGACUCAACAACGCAUCUACUAGGCUUAACCGAUGAGUACGCUCCGAACUUACCACAUCCUUUAACUUCCAUCACCAAUUUCAUCUUCUCACCAUCAUAUCUAAGUCCCUCGACAGCUCCUCCCGAGUUGUACAUGUUCACAAGACCAAGCGGAGCAAACGAGACACCAUCCGUAGUAGCCAGAUGAUUAAUAGGACUCACAGUGAAGAUCUCAUGCUCACGGAUCCUCAAUGAGAUCGGGAGAGACGCGUUGUAUGGCAUAACGUUGAGUUCGCCUCUGCUCUGAGAGUAAACAGCACAGUCUCCAUUCCAGGUCGCUGGAUCAGUGGAGGCUUCGGAUAUCAAAUGCACAUCACGACCACGUAUGGAGCCAGUGAUGCAAUCAGUUUUCGUCUGGUGGAAUAUGUUUUUUCUUUCUGUGCUACUCCAAGCAGCUCCUUGGCAAUUAUACACGCCAAGUACUCCAGUGUACUUGUUCAUGUUCCAUAUCUUUAACAAACUGAAACCAAACAAUGCACAAGUAAGAAAAUAAGCAACACAGACUACUUAUCUUUAUAAGCCAAUCUGCUUAUUACCUGACACCAUCUCGAGCAGGAUCUGUGAACAAACAAUCACGAGUUGGUCUACCAGGCAAUCUAGCACGAAGGAUUGAUCCAUCAGGCAACACAAGCUUUCUUAGAAGAUCAAAGUUGUGUUUUCCAGGAGCAUCACUACUCAUCAAGAACAGAGAGAGACAAACAAAUAAGUAAACAGUGUUGAGUUUGCAAUCAUUAAAAUGGAUUUUUGAGAGAUCUGUUACCUAACGUAAAUAGGUCCACCACUGAUGGCCCUAGCAGAGGCAUGAUACUCUGCAGCAGGGUGCACGGAGUGGAACAUGUCCCAGUCAGGCAGCAUAAACUCUCCCAAGAACACACUGUUGUAUGCAACCGAGGCAAUGUGGAUGGUGUGAGACACCGGAUCACGUGGGUAGAAAUCAUCUGAUGCUCUAAUCACAGCUGCUUGCUUGGAGCUGCAUCACCACCGAUCAAAUUCAAAAAAAAUUAUACUCAAAUAAAAAAAAAAUUACUACUCCCUCCGUUUUUAAUAUUUAUGUUUUAGAAUAAAUUUUGUGUUCCUGAUUAUAUAAUGUUUUAAUUUUCAGUGCGAAAUUUAUAAGUUUUUAUAUUAUAUAACAAAUUGUUUUAUACAGUUUGCUUUAUGCAAAUAAUUAAUGAUAUUUUUAAAUAGAAAAUGUAAAAAGAUUAUUAGUUUUUGUGCACAAUUCUAAAGCGUAGUCAUCUAUUACAAAACGGAAGGAGUAAAAGAUAAUGCAAAGACUUACCAGUAGAGAGCAUCUGUGUUAUGGCUCAUACAAGCAAUGCAACCAUUAUCAGGGAAGUUCUUAGCAACAGAGGAAUCAAGAGCCUGAUGAUACUGACGCGUUAACUCGACCCGACCACCUAACCCACCACCAAGAGUCUCCAAUAUACACUGCACAUCCACUUUCACACCGUCCACACCAGCAGCAGCCAAGUAACUAUGAAGCUCGUUGUAGAAUCUAUACACGUUCUUUGGGUUAACCAAACCCAACCCUUGAACCGCCAUAACAUCAGUCUCCCACGUCGGUUCGUUCUCCACCACACCUUUUGACACCAUCGGAUACUUCAUGGAAGACCCGUAUUCCUCCCCGGGUCGUACCCCGCCCCAGUAACCCGUUAUUGCAUGCCACACGUACACGUACUUCAGACCGUGUUUGUUUUUAGCUAUGUCGACUAUGUUCUUGAUCCCCUGUUUUGGGUCGUCCUUGUUCUUGAACUUUGCGUUCUCCUCGAUCCCGGUUAACCGGUAAACCGGGUUCUCAACCGGGUUAUCAUCAUCGUUCUCGACGGACUGCCAACCGUCGUCGAUGAUGACGAACUUCGGCGGCGUAUCUCCGGCGGUUAGAGAGUUAAGCCCUUCCUCGACGCCUUCUUGAGUAACCUCCUGGUAAAACGCGUCCCAAGUGCACCACCCGAAGUAGUCGACGAUCCCCGGGAGCUUCUUCUCGUGACGUUGACGGAAACUCUUGAGAUGCAACUUAACGGCGUGGAUAGCGUCCGUUAUCGUCUGAAACGGAUCAGUGCCGGCGUGAAUAUAUAAAGAGUGAGUAAACGACGACGUUUUAGUGUCGGAGUCGCCGCUCUCCAAACAGAGCUCCACCUCGUCGUUAACGUUUCCUUGUAGACACGAACGGAACGAGCCUUCUAUUAACGGCAAGAAAACGGUGUAGAGUUUCUGGUUGGUUUCGUCAACGCCGUCAGGCUCCAGGUGGGACCCGCUGUUAGAUUCGGUUAAUAGGAACUGCGUCUCUAGUGGGAUGUCCCGGCCCAGUUGGCCCAUUCUCUGGGCCAUCCACCAGAGCUUGAACCGGAAACAAGACAUGAACCGGGAAUCGUGAAGCUUACCGAUCGGUACGAUGUGGUUACUCUGUUCUGUGUCGAAUACAGCUCCGAGGAAGACUCCUUCGACCGGUCCGGCCUCUGAUGCUGACGUCGUGAUGACAUUGUCUGGUAAACCGGUUAGAACCGUACGGUUUUUGAUGAUUAGAUUCCCGUCGGAGAUUCCAACCGCCGGUUUAAUCGUCAUCUCUUCUUCCUUUUCUCUGUAACUCCUCUUCAACGGCGAAGCAGCCUCGCUUCUCUGUAUUUAUCAGACGGAUUAAAAGAUUCGAUUUUUAGAUUCGGAGUUCUCGAUGGAGCAGAUCAGAUCUAAAGAGAAACGGUACCUUAUACGAACAGGAAUGGAAUCGUCGAGAAGGUGAAGAAGAACAAUGCCUGCGAUAUCCAAGACAUGGAGUAUCAAGAACGAGGCUGUUAGACGUGGAAUCUAACUAUUGAAUAUAAGAGAGAAUGAAGAAGAUGCAAUACCAGAAGACAGACGAAGCUGUGAUGAGAGAAUGCGAGCUUGAGGUUUUGAUUUCAAUUGAAGAUAAGAUGAAGAUGAAGAAGAGAAACGGUAUGUGAGAGAGUGAAACAGAGGAUGAACCCUUUUUAUACUGUUAAUUCCAUUGAAACAUCCUUGUGAUGCCAUUGUUUUCUCUCUCUCUCUCUCUCUCUCUUUUUUCUUCGUUGCUGCUGAGUUAUUUUUUACAAGUUUCUCUCAGUCUUUAACUAUUUAUCCGAUUCCACCGUAUUUUAAUCAAUUUUUUAUUUUAUUAAAUAGGUAAUAAUACUCCUUUAACACGCAUCUUUUGAUUUCUUUUUGUAUCGUGCAAGACGUAUAUUAAUUGUAUUUGCUUUUGUAAAUCACAGUAUUGAUUUUUCAACAUGUUUCAGGUGAUAAUCUUUCAUGUUUAAGAAGCUACGAGAGGCGUCGUCAAAGUUUCGCUCUCAUUCUUGUAGGUUCUGUUCUGUAAGAACAAUAAUUAAGAUUAAAAGUUAGAUUUGUACGUUGACAAGUUAAAAGGAAAGAUUAGGUUGCCACGUGAGAUAUAUGCUGUAACAUCGGGUUAAAAGAAGUUCCCAUUGGUCCGCAUGUUGACGAAACUCGAGAGAUUCAAAGAUUUUUUAAGGGCUUUAAGAUAUUUUUGCACGACCGUCGUACGUGUCAUCGUGUCAGCAGGUUAUCAAUAUAUUAUCACGAGAUAAAUCUAAUUUUCUUUAACUAAAAGUCUAAAAAUAGAUAGAUGUUUGUUGUUGACGAAAAAAAAAGAUGUUUGUUAACAAAAAAAGAAGCAAGAAAAGAAGAAAAAAGAUAGGUUUUACUUGUAACGAGUUUGCCGAUGGAUAUUUUAAUGAAUUUUUCAGCAUUUAACAUUGUAAAAAAAUGAGAUUAUAGAAAGACAUCAACACAAGUGGCUCAAUUAUCUUGCAGUUCAACUUGCUUCAACAAUCCCGAUGUUGUGCGGUCGUGUGGGCCCCCACAGUUCCAUGAUAUUAUAGAAAUUAGAAAAUGUCAUUCUAUUCAGAUAAUAUGAGAGAGAGCACUACACGAAAAAUAAUAAUUUGAUGUUUCUUUCUGUAUUUAUUUGUUUGCAACUGAUGUAUACACAUAUAAAAUACAGAAAAUGAAGUAUUCGGCGAUGCAUGAUUCGCUUGCAACGAAUGAUUUGUUCAGACAGUGAUUGGGAAAACAAAUCAACUUGUGUUUUUCUAUGAAAAAAGAAGCUAGAUAAUUGUCCCAAUUGGACCCAAAAUGCACAAGUAAGAAAAUAAGCAACACAGACUACUUAUCUUUAUAAGCCAAUCUGCUUAUUACCUGACACCAUCUCGAGCAGGAUCUGUGAACAAACAAUCACGAGUUGGUCUACCAGGCAAUCUAGCACGAAGGAUUGAUCCAUCAGGCAACACAAGCUUUCUUAGAAGAUCAAAGUUGUGUUUUCCAGGAGCAUCACUACUCAUCAAGAACAGAGAGAGACAAACAAAUAAGUAAACAGUGUUGAGUUUGCAAUCAUUAAAAUGGAUUUUUGAGAGAUCUGUUACCUAACGUAAAUAGGUCCACCACUGAUGGCCCUAGCAGAGGCAUGAUACUCUGCAGCAGGGUGCACGGAGUGGAACAUGUCCCAGUCAGGCAGCAUAAACUCUCCCAAGAACACACUGUUGUAUGCAACCGAGGCAAUGUGGAUGGUGUGAGACACCGGAUCACGUGGGUAGAAAUCAUCUGAUGCUCUAAUCACAGCUGCUUGCUUGGAGCUGCAUCACCACCGAUCAAAUUCAAAAAAAAUUAUACUCAAAUAAAAAAAAAAUUACUACUCCCUCCGUUUUUAAUAUUUAUGUUUUAGAAUAAAUUUUGUGUUCCUGAUUAUAUAAUGUUUUAAUUUUCAGUGCGAAAUUUAUAAGUUUUUAUAUUAUAUAACAAAUUGUUUUAUACAGUUUGCUUUAUGCAAAUAAUUAAUGAUAUUUUUAAAUAGAAAAUGUAAAAAGAUUAUUAGUUUUUGUGCACAAUUCUAAAGCGUAGUCAUCUAUUACAAAACGGAAGGAGUAAAAGAUAAUGCAAAGACUUACCAGUAGAGAGCAUCUGUGUUAUGGCUCAUACAAGCAAUGCAACCAUUAUCAGGGAAGUUCUUAGCAACAGAGGAAUCAAGAGCCUGAUGAUACUGACGCGUUAACUCGACCCGACCACCUAACCCACCACCAAGAGUCUCCAAUAUACACUGCACAUCCACUUUCACACCGUCCACACCAGCAGCAGCCAAGUAACUAUGAAGCUCGUUGUAGAAUCUAUACACGUUCUUUGGGUUAACCAAACCCAACCCUUGAACCGCCAUAACAUCAGUCUCCCACGUCGGUUCGUUCUCCACCACACCUUUUGACACCAUCGGAUACUUCAUGGAAGACCCGUAUUCCUCCCCGGGUCGUACCCCGCCCCAGUAACCCGUUAUUGCAUGCCACACGUACACGUACUUCAGACCGUGUUUGUUUUUAGCUAUGUCGACUAUGUUCUUGAUCCCCUGUUUUGGGUCGUCCUUGUUCUUGAACUUUGCGUUCUCCUCGAUCCCGGUUAACCGGUAAACCGGGUUCUCAACCGGGUUAUCAUCAUCGUUCUCGACGGACUGCCAACCGUCGUCGAUGAUGACGAACUUCGGCGGCGUAUCUCCGGCGGUUAGAGAGUUAAGCCCUUCCUCGACGCCUUCUUGAGUAACCUCCUGGUAAAACGCGUCCCAAGUGCACCACCCGAAGUAGUCGACGAUCCCCGGGAGCUUCUUCUCGUGACGUUGACGGAAACUCUUGAGAUGCAACUUAACGGCGUGGAUAGCGUCCGUUAUCGUCUGAAACGGAUCAGUGCCGGCGUGAAUAUAUAAAGAGUGAGUAAACGACGACGUUUUAGUGUCGGAGUCGCCGCUCUCCAAACAGAGCUCCACCUCGUCGUUAACGUUUCCUUGUAGACACGAACGGAACGAGCCUUCUAUUAACGGCAAGAAAACGGUGUAGAGUUUCUGGUUGGUUUCGUCAACGCCGUCAGGCUCCAGGUGGGACCCGCUGUUAGAUUCGGUUAAUAGGAACUGCGUCUCUAGUGGGAUGUCCCGGCCCAGUUGGCCCAUUCUCUGGGCCAUCCACCAGAGCUUGAACCGGAAACAAGACAUGAACCGGGAAUCGUGAAGCUUACCGAUCGGUACGAUGUGGUUACUCUGUUCUGUGUCGAAUACAGCUCCGAGGAAGACUCCUUCGACCGGUCCGGCCUCUGAUGCUGACGUCGUGAUGACAUUGUCUGGUAAACCGGUUAGAACCGUACGGUUUUUGAUGAUUAGAUUCCCGUCGGAGAUUCCAACCGCCGGUUUAAUCGUCAUCUCUUCUUCCUUUUCUCUGUAACUCCUCUUCAACGGCGAAGCAGCCUCGCUUCUCUGUAUUUAUCAGACGGAUUAAAAGAUUCGAUUUUUAGAUUCGGAGUUCUCGAUGGAGCAGAUCAGAUCUAAAGAGAAACGGUACCUUAUACGAACAGGAAUGGAAUCGUCGAGAAGGUGAAGAAGAACAAUGCCUGCGAUAUCCAAGACAUGGAGUAUCAAGAACGAGGCUGUUAGACGUGGAAUCUAACUAUUGAAUAUAAGAGAGAAUGAAGAAGAUGCAAACAAGUUUCUCUCAGUCUUUAACUAUUUAUCCGAUUCCACCGUAUUUUAAUCAAUUUUUUAUUUUAUUAAAUAGGUAAUAAUACUCCUUUAACACGCAUCUUUUGAUUUCUUUUUGUAUCGUGCAAGACGUAUAUUAAUUGUAUUUGCUUUUGUAAAUCACAGUAUUGAUUUUUCAACAUGUUUCAGGUGAUAAUCUUUCAUGUUUAAGAAGCUACGACAGUAUUGAUUUUUCAACAUGUUUCAGGUGAUAAUCUUUCAUGUUUAAGAAGCUACGAGAGGCGUCGUCAAAGUUUCGCUCUCAUUCUUGUAGGUUCUGUUCUGUAAGAACAAUAAUUAAGAUUAAAAGUUAGAUUUGUACGUUGACAAGUUAAAAGGAAAGAUUAGGUUGCCACGUGAGAUAUAUGCUGUAACAUCGGGUUAAAAGAAGUUCCCAUUGGUCCGCAUGUUGACGAAACUCGAGAGAUUCAAAGAUUUUUUAAGGGCUUUAAGAUAUUUUUGCACGACCGUCGUACGUGUCAUCGUGUCAGCAGGUUAUCAAUAUAUUAUCACGAGAUAAAUCUAAUUUUCUUUAACUAAAAGUCUAAAAAUAGAUAGAUGUUUGUUGUUGACGAAAAAAAAAGAUGUUUGUUAACAAAAAAAGAAGCAAGAAAAGAAGAAAAAAGAUAGGUUUUACUUGUAACGAGUUUGCCGAUGGAUAUUUUAAUGAAUUUUUCAGCAUUUAACAUUGUAAAAAAAUGAGAUUAUAGAAAGACAUCAACACAAGUGGCUCAAUUAUCUUCGCAGUUCAACUUGCUUCAACAAUCCCGAUGUUGUGCGGUCGUGUGGGCCCCCACAGUUCCAUGAUAUUAUAGAAAUUAGAAAAUGUCAUUCUAUUCAGAUAAUAUGAGAGAGAGCACUACACGAAAAAUAAUAAUUUGAUGUUUCUUUCUGUAUUUAUUUGUUUGCAACUGAUGUAUACACAUAUAAAAUACAGAAAAUGAAGUAUUCGGCGAUGCAUGAUUCGCUUGCAACGAAUGAUUUGUUCAGACAGUGAUUGGGAAAACAAAUCAACUUGUGUUUUUCUAUGAAAAAAGAAGCUAGAUAAUUGUCCCAAUUGGACCCAAGGGUUCACACACCCUCAUGGCCUCAUGCAUGAGUUGGCGGAUAAGAGACUGCCAGAAACUACUAUAUGCAUAAAAAGUUUACAUAAAUAUCUUUAACCUAUCAAGAGAGAGAAACAGAAAUGAUUAAAACAAAUGAAAGCAGUAAACAUCAAUCACUGGCAAAGAGUGUUAAGGGUUCUAGCUAGUAGAAUAUGGAGAAUAUGAAGCAUCCAAAGUUCCCCAAAGAAUAAGAGGAUUAUAACUUAGCCUAAAACCUAAUCACAUUAUACAGCUUAAAUUCCCACUAACUAAACAAUGGUCAUCAACACAUUAUAUUAAUCCCUACAUGUGAUUCGAGAACAUUCUAACACAGAAGCUAAUUAUAUAUUUUCAACAAACAAAAAAGUCGUUAAGAAACAAAAAGUCUCCUUAAGAAUAAAACCGGAUUGUAACUCAACAAGGAAUCAUUUGUUUUUUUUUUUGGUAAUCAUGUUAAAAGAAUCAUUAGUUUUAACACAAAAGCAACUAGUUUUAAACGUUGAAGCAGACAACACAACCAAACACAUAAAGUUCAUAAGCAAGCAACACACAUAUAAGCUUAAGUAAAAAAGUAGGAUAGAGAGUAUAUAUGUGGCUCGAGACUGAAGGGGUAACACAAUUAUAAAGACAAUUUAAAGGACCAGAGAUAGAUAGUAGAUUGGUCAUGAGAUUUGCUAAUCUCAAAUAUGAUCAAUCGAUGACCAAAGACAUAAUCUUUUGCUGAAGAUUUGGCUGAAUCGGCUGAACUCUAUAUCCAAAUUGCGCAUCAUGAUUUCUCAUCAUCAUUCCUCUUACGUUGCUAGCUAUUUCCAUCUCUUGCUGUUGCUGCAAUUUCCAAACCAUAUCCAUAUAUCUCAAGCACACAUUAACAUACCAAUAUACAGUUUCAAACCAAACCAAGGGCUUAAUGAAUAAAUUGACUAUCACUUAUAUAUACCAGCUGGAAACUGAGUUGCCGAUUCUCCUCUACCAUCAUUUUCUCCUGCCACAAAUUUUUUUGAUAUAAACAUCAAUAUAUAUAUGUUAACCAGAAAGCUCGAUAGUAAAGUACAAAAUCGGUUAUAUAUGCUCACAUUUCUCUUUUUUGUCAUAAGGUACUCCACCUGUGCCAAGCAGACCAAGUUAAGAGUUAAUUGUGGACUUUGAUUUAUAUAUUUAUAUAUAGAUUAAUGUGCCUGUGUAUGAAUGUAUACGUGCCUGGUGGUCUCGGACUUUGUCGAGGCCAUGUUCAACGGCAUGCUCUACGGCCACCAGGUUUUUUAAGUUGAGAGACUGUAUAUCUUCCCCUUUCAAAUGCCUGUAUUGAUCACAGUUUUUAUGCAUUUUAUCAUUCAUGCUGAUAUUUCAAAGAUUUUUUUAUUUAGCUGUUUUAUAAAUACUUAUGUAAAUAUAUAAAAAUAUUAUUGUUUAAAAUAUAUGAAAAUAUGUAGGGUGGAGAUUGACCUGAGCUCCAGUUGUAAGCUAUCAUUCUCCUUUUUGAUCUUAUCAAUCUCAUUGCUGAGGUUCUGGACACCAAAUAAUGACAAAACACUAAACAUAAAUAUAUGUCUCACAAAAUUAUUGAAGAAAUCUGGUUAUUCAUGAGAAGCCAUUGGGGAAUUGCCACUAAUACCACUUUCCUAAUACCACUUUUCAACUUUACACUUUUCAAAUUUACCAUUAAAAUUUUAAUGGCUAAAGUACCAUUAUACCCCUCAUUUCAUUAAUUUAACCUAGAUCUAUUCUUCUCCAAAUGUCUGUCACGAGAUGAAACUGAGAUCAAAUUGAGACGAGCUCUAACGAGAUCUCCGGCAAACUCGGCGAUCUCCGGCGAAUUCGGCGAUCUCCGGCGAACUUGGCGAUCUCCGGUGAACUCGACGAUCUCCGACGAACUCGACCGGAUUGGGAGAGCGUGGCGGCGAGUGGACAUCCCGCCGUUCCUCCGCCGGCAUUAUGUAGUCGUAGUAAUCAUCCGAUGCUAAAUCGGUCACGUUCGUCACGAAUCGCAUGCCGAGAAGUUCUCCGGCAAAGCUGACAGACUCGACAAGCUCAGACGAACGAGACGAUCUCUCUCCCAACGCCUAAGAAAUACUAACAAAGGUAAGAUGAUAGUAUAUGGUGAUUUUUGCCUCUUUCUGUAAUCUUAGCUUGAUUUAUCAAAAUCGAUAUGUUUCUAAGAAAGAAGACGAAGUUUUUCAAGUGAAGUUUUCAGAUCUCAAAUUUAUAAGAUCUUAUAAAUUGGGUCAUUUCAAAUCUUACUGUUGAUCUGUUAGCAAUCAAAAGACACAAAGCUUAACGUAAGAGUACAAUUAUUGAUUUUGUUGAUUUAUUGUCAUAGUUUUCAGAUUUAUAUAAUUAUUUAAUUCAUGAGAAGGUACUAACCUAAGAGUAUAAUUAUUCUAUGAUUACUUCUUCUCUUGGUUGAUUUGGUGAUGUUGCAGAGAAUUACAAAUGUGUGUUGUCAGCUUUUGGAUUUAAAGGAUGUUGUGGAAAAUAUGUGUGGUGAUAUGCAUAUCUAAGUAUCUCACUUCCUUAAAGUAAUACAAUGCUACUAUUUGUAGUUUGACUAGCAAUGUUUUAGUAUGUGCAGUAUAUGAGGUGGAACGUUGGUGUUUUGGUAGUGUAACGUUCUAUUUAUACUUUGUGAGUUUAUUUUUUAUGUCUUGUUUUGUGUAUAAUAUCUACAGAAGCAGUGGAGAUGAAUGAUGAGUUUGUUGAGUUACGAAAGCAUACUAUUUUUGAAUCUUAUUUUUGGAAGUGAAUGCUGAUGCGUAGAAAUAAUAUGUGACUGGCUUUUGUUCAGAUUUUGAAAAUUUACGAGGUUGGUGAGCUGUUUGAAGAGGCAAGAGAGACUCUGAAGAAGAAUGUGGUUUGUGCUAUCAAAGAAUUACGUAUUUAUAACGCUUUAUAAAAGUUGCAGAGUUGGCUUCUUAGUACAUUCUUCUCUCUCAUCUUAUUUAGACAUCUCUUAUACUAAAACAAUUGUAUCUCUCUUUUAGUAGUUACAUAGUUGAAGAUAUUAGUUGGACAUGUAAGUGAGUUUGGUUUCAAUUGUUUCUUUUAUAGAAGAGUGAGAUAUGGAGAAGCCUUGAUGUUCUCAGACUAUGUUAAAGCAAUAUAUCCCUUGUUGAAGGACGUGGCUCUUUCACCAGAUAUGUCUUUUUUGUGUUGAUUGUCUUUUGGAGGGAUUUUAGAAAAAUUACCUUAUAAGCCAUUGUAAAUAAAUUUAUAAACGCUUAUAAAUCACUUUGAGUUUCUUACACUCAUUCUGCCUAGCAUUCCUCACAAGACUUCUCAAGUUCAAACAUUUAUGUGUUUUGUAUAGACAUAUACAAUCAACUCUUGUUUAAAAACUUCUUAAUAAAAACUUAUAAAUCGUCGAGUUGUACUUUUAACAAUAGACUUAUAAAUAGCUUAUAUGUUCUUGUAAAUAGUUUAAUACACCCUUUUAAAUAGUUUUAUAAACCUGUAUAAAUAGUUAUAUACUUUUGUAAAGAGAUGAUGAUACGUGGCAGAUUGUGAGGCACAUGAGGACAGCAAGCAAGACUCCACCGCUUCAGAAAUUUUACAUACUUUUAUAAAUUAUUUUAUAAUCUUUUAUUAUGGUGUAUAAACUUUAUAAAUUAUUUUUAUAAACCCUUAUAAAAUAUUUACAUACUCUUGUAAACCCUUAUAUAUUAUUAUACAAACCAUUAUAAGUUAUUUUAUAAGGCUUUCAUAAAGUUUUUAUAAACCCUUAUUAAUAGUAUACAUACCUCUUAUAAAUUAUUUAUAAACUUUCAUAACUUUCUUAUAAACAUUUAUAAAUGAUUUAUAGAUCUUAUAACUUGUUUUAUAUGUCUUUAUUAAUGGUUUAUAUACUCUUACAAAUAAUUUUACAUACCCUUAUAAGGCUUUGUAAAGAGAUGAUGAUACAUGACAGAUUCUAAGGCACAUGUGGACAGCAAGCACGGCUCCACCGCUUCAGAAAUUUUACAUAUCCUUAUAAAUUGUUUUAUUAUAAUCCUUUAUAAUGGUGUAUAAACUUUAUAAAUUAUUUUUAUAAACCCGUAUACAUUAUUAUACAAACCAUUAUAAAUUAUUUUAUAAGGCUUUCUAAAUGGUUAUAGACUCUUUUAGUUGAUUUAUAAACCUAUACAACUCUUAUAAUACCCCUUAUAAAUUGAAUAUAAUGUUUCAUAAAGUUUUUAUAAACUCUUAUUAAUAGUAUACAUACCCCUUAUAAAUUAUUUAUAAACUUUCAUAACUUUCUUAUAAACAUUUAUAAAUGGUUUAUAGAUUUUAUAACUUGUUUUAUAUGCAUUUAUUAAUAGUUUAUAAACUCUUACAAAUAAUUUUACAUAUCCUUAUAAGGAUUUGUAAGGAGAUGAUGAUACGUGGCAGAUUCUGAGGUACAUGUAGACAGCAAUCAAGACUCCACCGCUUCAGAAAUUUUAAAUUCCCUUAUAAAUCAUUUUAUAAUUUUUUAUAAUGGUGUAUAAACUUAAUAAAUUAUUUUUAUAAACCCGUAUACAUUAUUUACAUACCCUUAUAAAUCCUUAUAAAUUAUUAUACAAACCAUUAUAAAUUGUUUUAUAAGGCUUUCUAAAUUGUUUUAGACUCUUUUAGUUGAUUUAUAAACCUAUACAACUCUUAUAAUACCUCUUAUAAAUUGAAUAUAAUCUUUCAUACAGUUUUUAUAAACUCUUAUUAAUAGUAUACAUACCCCUUAUAAAUUAUUUAUAAACUUUCAUAACUUUCUUAUAAACAUUUAUAAAUGGUUUAUAGAUUUUAUAACUUGUUUUAUAUGCAUUUAUUAAUAGUUUAUAAACUCUUACAAAUAAUUUUACAUAUCCUUAUAAGGAUUUGUAAGGAGAUGAUGAUACGUGGCAGAUUCUGAGGUACAUGUGGACAACAAUCAAGACUCCACCGCUUCAGAAAUUUUAAAUUCCCUUAUAAAUCAUUUUAUAAUAUUUUAUAGUGGUGUAUAAACUUAAUAAAUUAUUUUUAUAAACCCGUAUACAUUAUUUACAUACCCUUAUAAACCCUUAUAAAUUAUUAUACAAACCAUUAUAAAUUGUUUUAUAAGGCUUUCUAAAUGGUUUUAGACUCUUUUAGUUGAUUUAUAAACCUAUACAACUCUUAUAAUACCUCUUAUAAAUUGAAUAUAAUCUUUCAUACAGUUUUUAUAAACUCUUAUUAAUAGUAUACAUACCCCUUAUAAAUUAUUUAUAAACUUUCAUAACUUUCUUAUAAACAUUUAUAAAUGGUUUAUAGAUUUUAUAACUUGUUUUAUAUGCAUUUAUUAAUAGUUUAUAAACUCUUACAAAUAAUUUUACAUAUCCUUAUAAGGCUUUGUAAAGAGAUGAUGAUACAUGGCAGAUUCUGAGGUACAUGUGGACAGCAAUCAAGACUCUACCGCUUCAGAAAUUUUAAAUUCCCAUAUAAAUUAUUUUAUAAUAUUUAUAAUGGUGUAUAAACUUAAUAAAUUAUUUUUAUAAACCCAUAUACAUUAUUUACGUACCCUUAUAAACCCUUAUAAAUUAUUAUACAAACCAUUAUAAAUUGUUUUAUAAGGCUUUCUAAAUUGUUAUAGACUCUUUUAGUUGAUUUAUAAACCUAUGGAACUCAUAUAAUACCCUUAUAAAUUGAAUGUAUGCUUUCAUAACGUUUUUUAUAAACUUUUAUAAAUUAUUUACAUUCAUCAAUAAUCAUAGAUCUAACCCCAUUGGUUGAUAUGAGAAAGUGAACCAUAGAUCUACCCCCAUUCAUCAAUAAUCUUAUUUGCUCUGUUGAAGUAUCACAAUACCUCGUAGUUAACUUCAAAAUUGUGCAGAAUUUAUAAACCUUAUAAAUUAUUUAACAAACUUUAUAAACUGUCUUAUAACUUCAAAUGUUGAAUCCUCAGCAAGAAUCACAACCUGUAAGUAUUUUUUCGGAUUUUGUUGUUUUGCUCUAAGAGAAAGAGUUAUCUAUUAAUAUUCUGAUCUAAGAGAAAGAUUUCUAAUAGUGAACAUUGAGUUUUUGAAAAUUUAUAACUCUUUAUAAAUCGAAGUUAUUUAGUAAUGUAAUUGACAUGUUCAGUUCCCGACACUCAUAAAAGAAGCAUAUGUUCAAGCUUAUAUGAGAGCCACAACUCUGCCAUCACACAUUUUCUUUGAUCUACAAUGUUAAUCAUCAAAUUCAUCAUUGUCUCUUGUUUUUUUUCUAAAGUCUUAUUGACCAACCAUUGACAUUUUUUAGUUUCUUCUUGUGUCUUAGAUUGCAGAGUCUGUUUCUUUUAGCAGCGAUAAAAAGUAUGAUAUAACGCAAGUGAAGGCUUCACCUCAGCUGCAGAAAACGAUGUGUUAAGUAACUCAAUCAACUAAAAGACAAUUUAGAAAGGCUUAUAAAACAGUUUAUAAAGUUUGUUAAAUAAUCAACUGCGCCUCGCCUCACCGUCCUCUCCAUCUCCUCCACGACCCUCCACGGAAACAGAGCAUCAUCAAGAUGCGCAGUAAAUGCGAAAUCAAACGCACCGUCGAAAAAUGAAGGUUAUGAGGAUCAGCUCUUCUCUCGAGAGGAAGCGAAUCCACCAACUCCACGGCGGUAACGUCAGAUAACUCGAUCUGGGCCAUCGCCAUCGGAGCGUGUCCGGCGCCGGCGGAGAGGCAGAGAGCUUUGGUGUGGUUGCGAAGCAAUCCGAGAUCGCAGAAUCGGAGGAAGUAAGAGGAGAAGGAGGAGAGACGCGAUAUCCAAGCCUUGGUUAGGGACGGAGGAGAAGGAGGAGAGACGGUGGAUCUCCGGUGAAUCGGAGACAGAGAAGAAGAAAAAAGAUCGAGAGAAAGAGAGAGGAAGAAAAGAGGAUCGCGAGAGAGAGAGAGAUAAAGUUAGGGCUAAUAUGGUCUUUUGGUCAUUAAUGAAAAGUGUAUUUGUGAAAAUGUCCCCAUACUAGUGGUAUACUUGAAAUGUGGUACUAAAGAAAGUGUAGAAGUAAAAUUUCCCCGAAGCCAUUCAUGUUUUAUGCACAACAUAAAUAUAGUGAGUGAUAUCAUAUAUGUAAAAAGUAUACACAUAACAAUAACUUAAAUGGUAGCCGUUCGUUAAAAAAAAAAAAAAAACUUAAAUGGUAUACAACCCUCUGUAUGCUGCUUAUUUUAUAAAGAUAGCAUUCAGUUUGUUGGAACUAAGCUUAUGAUUGUCAGAACUAAUUAAUAAUAUUUGGAGUAAAAUCAGUCGUUUUAAAGAGUAAUUAAAGAGUAGUAUUUCCCAGUUUUCAAUCACCCAUGUAAAAUCAGUAAACUGUUCAGACAUUAGUAUUUAUAUCACAUCCCAAAUUUCCUCUCGCUAACCUCACACCUUGAAAUGGAAUCACUCAUAGAUCUAACUAGCUCUCUCUAAGAUUUUGUCUUGGUUGUUUCAAAACACAGUUGGUGAAAACAUUUAGAUAUAUUCUUUACAAUAUAUUCAAGAUCCUACAAAUUAAGCAUGAAUAAAAGAAAAACAAUGGAAAGAAGAGAAUAACUUCCAUGUUUCGUGGCUCCAUGUCUUGUUUUUUUUUUUAAACAAUUGUUGGGUUUUGUUGAGUACAAGAGAAUCAAUAAAGAGGCUGGAAGGCUAGACACACAAAGAAAACUUUGUAGAUCUGCAUUUAGGGUUCGAGAGGUUUUCCUUUUUGACAUGUUUUGGGAAAAUAAAAUUAAAUAACCCCGUUUCAUGAUAUUUAGCACAGAAUAUCUGUUGUUUGAAAAAAAAGCAAAGAAUAUUUGUUCUUGAGACAAAAACACUAAAGUAGAUCUGUAUCUAGGGUUGAAAAUUCAUGGGUUUUCUGACAUGUUUUCGGCAAAGAAAUUGAAAACCCAUGAUUCUGGCAUAUAAUAUUUUUUGAGACUAAGAAACUUUAGAUUAUAUAAAAAGAGAGUUAGUACCUCAUGCUUAGCAUCCCAUAGUUUCUUGCCAGAUAACUUCUGGUAUUGGUCCAACAUAGCACCAAGAUCCAUGGAAGGACAACAAUAAUCAGUCAUCUUACCAUUACUUGCGAAGACUAUGAGAGCAACUUUUGCAUCACACAGAACUGUGAUCUCUUUCGCCUUCUUAACCAACCCAUUCCUCCUCUUUGAGAACGUCACAACUCUGUUGUUUACGUUCUCUAUCCUCUUUAUCUCUAUCUUCCCUCUUCCCAUCUUUCUCUCUCUCUAGUUCUCUUUUCUCUGUUUUAGGGCUUGCUAUGAGAAAUUGUUAAAACAUGGAAGCGAGGAUAUGUGGUUUAUAUGGAGAAGAAAAGGAGGAGCAUUGGUCUCAAAGGAACAUUGAUGAGAGAGAUAGAGAGAACGUGUUUCAUUAAUCUAUAUGUGAAGUGAGACUUUGACAGUUUGGGAUGGAAAACAAAGCUACUUUCGUGAUGGCACAGUAAUGGAAGGCUUGUUUUUGUGGUUCUCUUAUCACACUUAGUCACAUAGCCAACUCUAUUCUCCCUCCUAUUUACACUAGCAAGAAAUAAAACUUUGAAGUAACGCAAAAAUCAAGUAGAAACAUAAUUAGUUAAUUUGCUUAACACUCUUUGCCUGUGAUUGAUGUUUAUUGCUUUCAUCUGAUUUGAUCAUAUCUGUCUCUCUCUUGAUAGGUUAAACUGUUGUUUCUAACCUCUGGUCUCUUCCUUAUAUGUAUUUUUCGGAUGCACUGAAGAUGGAGAUUAAUUUAAAAUUGCAAAAAAUAAAAGGAACAUUUUUUUUCAAAGACCAAUUUUCAUAUAAAUCACUUUGCAGAAAAUAUCCAUUUUUAGGUAGCAAACAAAAUUAAACAGAAGCGAGAUAAUUGUUGCAAUUUGUAGUCUUGUAGAUUUAAAGUCAAGAGCUCAGUAGAAAUUAUAACUACUUCUUUCACAGGUUCUUACUUUGGUCAUUCCAAGACUUGCUAUUACAAGAACUCUAUGUCCAUAUAUAGGUCUUAUCGAAUAUUGUAGCUACACUAUAUUAAUCAAACAUAUUAAAUUAUCGAAAUAUGAAGAUAUCAUGUUGACAAAGAAGUGAGUGAAACAAAUUGAUUUGAAGUUAAAUCAAGAUUGAUAAGAAAGAAACAACAAGAGUAAAGAAGCACUGAAAUUACCAAAGACUUUGCUAUAACCAUUGGAAGUUAUCAUGCUUAAUUAUUAAGGGAAAAAUGUCAUUGCUUGUCGAAAAAAAGUUUAUGGUUUUCUGAUUCACGUCAAUCGGAUACGUGUCAAGGUCUUGUGCAAGUUUCUGGUCUUCUGUAGUAGGUAGUACUACUUGUUUGCUAUAGACCGUUUAUAUGAUAUUCGCGAUUUCGCGGUAACCAAAUCGUUUAAUCAAAGUUUAAGCGUUUAUUAAAUAACUUUUUUUUUGGUAAUCAAUUUAUUAGAUAAAUUUUUAUAUUAGAUAACAUUAAAGCAUAUACAUUAUUAGGAAAUUGUCUUCCCGUAAAUAUCCAUGACUAAUGGUUUAUGAGAGAUUCACGAGAGAGAGUCAUAUUGGUAUUGAAAAAACGUAGAUCGUGUAUAUAUGUUCAAUAAAAUCUAUAAACAUGGGUUCAGAAUGGGUUAAUGUUUCAGAUCCGUGAGUGAUUGAUAUACUUAGAAGGCAAAAUUGUUUACAUAAUACAAGAAAACACUUAAACAAACUGGAUCAAGAAGAUGACAUGUACACACCUUUCCAUGAAAUAUGAUAUAAUAUAUAUAUCGAUGAUGUGGAAAAUCAAUCUUAAAAUUAUAACCUAGUUAUCAUAUGUCUCUACAAUGACGAUUUUUAUUCCCAUAAAGAAAAUGCAUGAAUGUUAAACUACGUACUUUCCUCAGUAUUCCGAUCGAUCGAAUCUAACUCAAAAGAGAGCAACAACAGCAGAAACGAAGGCGACCAAAAAAGAGGCACCACCUAAUGUAGAAGCGGCACUUCCAGCCGUAGGUGUUGUAGUAGUAGUCGUCCCGGCUCCUGGGGUGGUGGGAGUGGUUCCUCCAGCAGCAGGGGUGGUAGCACCACCAGCACCAACUACGUUGAUGGCAAGUUUUUGACCAAAGCGGCAAUGGUCACCGAAGGUGCAGAUGUAGUAUUGUGGUCCGGUGGUGUUUAGUAUAAUUUUUACCGGAGGAGUCAUCAUGACGCUGAGGGGUUUCUCUUUCACGCAGUUCUCAUAUGCAUCUUUUGUUACAACAGCCACAUCAUGUCUCCCAGCGGUGAAAUCAAAUUCUGUAAUAAUAAUAUACAAAAACUUGUUAUUAUUACUAGAUCGUCUUUCCGCGCUACGCGCGGAUAAUUGUUCUAUAAAAUUUCAGUUGAAUAUGUUAUGUGAAUAUAAGAUAUUGUAGAACCAUUUUCAAUUCUAAAACUCAUUUUGAAUUAUAAUGGUAGCAUAUAAAGCAAUUUCAAUGAAGAUUCUAAGCUUAGAAUUUUAUAUUAUAUGUAUAUAUUAUACUAAUAUGGGAAAUUAGUUAGAACUAGUAUAUCCACCCCGUGCUAAGCACGGGCCAGCUUUUGUUUGCAUUUAAAUUAUUUUGUUUUAAUCAAAUGAUAGUGUUUCAUUUAUUUUUAUCAAAACUAAAUAUUAUUUCAGUCACAUUUGAUAAGCUGGAUAAAAUGGAGACCAAAAAUUAGGCGUGUAACCUUUGAAACAAAACAUUUAGAAAGGUAAAACAGUACGGUUUACAAAAAAAAAACAAUUACAGUUAUUUUGAGUUUUGCCAAAAAAAGAUACAUCUGUGGAAGUAGGCAACAUUUUCGUUGAACUUACAUUUUGGGCUUCUUCUCCAUUGCUUCUUUCUUUAGUCAUCACUAACUUUAAAACAAACACAGAUACAAAACAUAUUUGUAAAUUAGUUAUAUUAAAACAACCCGAUUAGUAAAUACUCACUUUGUAUACAUAUAUACAUAUUGUUACCUAAAAUUGCUGUCAUAUUCUGAUUUUUCUUUCUUGUUUGAAGAAAGUUUUGAAAUUGUAGUACCCUCUUCAACCUCAGUCAUACCUAAAGAAUUAAAAAGAAUGAGAGAACAUUGAAUUGAAAUGAAAGCAAAUUAAAUCUGAAAAUCACUUGUAUAGAUUUUUUUACUAUACUCAAAACACAAGAAGAAGAAGAUGUAAAAGAAUUAGAAACGAUGUUAAAGAAAGAGGCAGAAUAAAUAAGUUCUUUGAAUUUAUAUAAGAGUUAAGCAGUUUGAAUCAUGACACGAUUUUAAUUAUAGAUGACAGUUUUUUAAGAAAUUUGAACGUGUUGACAUUCACAUGAGAAAAUUUAGGGAGUCAGUUUUAAAUUUGAACAUGUUAACAUUGCAAAAAAAAAUUGAAAAUCAAGAAAUUAAUUUAAUUUUUUUUAAAAGCACAAUGCCAUGUGUCAGAUAUUUAUUUGGCAAGUAACUUGUGAUUUAGUAUAUAAGGGAUUCACGAGAGAGUCAUAUUGGUAUUGAAACAACGUAGAUAGUUUACAAAAAAAAGGUAAACAUUUAAAUUAUAAAUAGACUAUUAUUUAAAUAUGAGAUUUUUUCUUAAUAUAGUGGUAUUAAACAUGUUAUUUGAUAAAUUACUUCAUAAUUCAUUGUUAUUGAAAAAAUAAGCUGUAAAUUUUUAUAAUGCGUCUAGUGAUUUUAGAAUAUUUUAAUGCCGCUUUUCUGUUAAAAAUAAUAUUGAUGGUUUUAGGGAUUUUGAAAUGGUUUAACUACAACUAAAAUAAAUUCUCAGUUUAUCUAAAAUCAUCUUAAGACUUAUUGAAAAUCAAAUUACUUCAAUAACUAGAUUGAAUACAACACCAUAAGUAGCUACAACAAUAACCAAACCGUUUACAUAUAAUGAUGUAAUGAAUAUUGUUUGAAUCACUCUUACAAGUUACAAGCUAAGAUUUUCAUAACUGAACUUCGACCACAUGUAAUCUUUUGGUCUCUGAAGGCAUCUUGUCCAACUCAAAAGUGACCAAACCAGAUGAGACGUCAUACUCAAACGCGAUCUCACUUGACUCAACAACGCAUCUACUAGGCUUAACCGAUG